UUUGUUACACGUAGGAUUUAUUAAUUGCUGUCAUACAGAAAUCAACUAAGAAUGUUCAGUAUGUAGCAUGGGAAAGAAAGCUUGUGGGACUAUGCAACCGUACAGAGAUUCUGGAAACAGAAGACUGUUCACAAGGAGUUAUUUGGAAAUAUGGUUACUUAGGCCCCAGGUAAUUACGUUUGAAAAGCAAGCAGGUAGAAAACAUGCAAGCAUUCAGUUUGAGAGCUUAACACCUUCCCCUCACCCUCCAAAAGACUGAGCGGUCAAAAUAUUCUAGGACCAUAAAGCCAUGAACUACAGGUAGUGACUCAAAAUUCUGCUCCAAAUGCGUCCCCUUAUACAGCAUUAAUCUUGAUUACUAGAACACGAUAACCAGAAAAUAGAGAAUGAAGUUUCCUUCUCUACCAUGAAGAUACAGGGUGACAUUUUGUUACAGGUAAGAAGUUUGUCUUCUAGAUCUCAUGUUCAGGGACAUGAAAAUUACUUCAAUCUACGAAGGUAACAAAAGGUUUUUGUGCUACCUACGCUGAAUCUGGCAUGUACAUAUGAUUUUUCCUAUUUAUACUAAUCUUAAGCACAUCAAUUUAAUUCUACCGAGAGGCAGGAUGCUAUGCCACACUCCAAAGAGGGUUAUAAGAAAAGAAAUGAAGAACUAAAAUGAUUUCAUUAAGCACAAGUGUAAGAAAAUCACACAAACGACUAAAUAAGGAUUGCAUAAAUGAGGAUGUUGUAGAUUUAAGUAAUUUAGUGAGUGCACUCUGAAAACUGGCUUAUACAGUUAGAAAGUAAGUUACAUGAGCCAUGAUUUUUAUGUGGGUUUCCAGUCUUUCUCUUCAGACACUUAAAAAUACCCUGAUUUUUAUAAACAUGGAUCUGAUAGCACUAAUUUCAGUGGGAGCUGAGAAAAAGUCACUUUUACUUGUGUGCAUAAAUAUAAAAUCUCACGGACUACCUUGGUAAUUGGACUUAGUCCCCAAAUCCCUAUAUGUGAGCCUCUGUUCAGGUUUACCAGAAGGUGCACUCACUCUAUUGCAGUUAACAUUCACCUUCUGUUAACGUACUAUUUUGACCAUCAGUGUCCUUGUUAAAUAUACCUAGUUACUGAGCUAUAGUCACCACUUCCCAAUACUAAGGCUUCAUUUAUUGAAGAUCUGAUCAGCAUUCAUAUUUUACUGUGCAAUAGCAAAGGAUCUUUUGUUGCACACAAUACAGAAAGUUAAAUUUCUUAGGACUUUUAUUUCUCUAAUGAAUGUCUUCUGAGCUGGGAACUCAGCAAUAAAUUAAGGAGAACAGGGAAGCAACUUAAUGGAAUUCCGUUAUUAAUUAUUUCAUACUUUAAUUGCGUCCAGAUGGUUCAUCAGAAUUAGAACCUCAUUAAGUUGAGUACCAUAUAAUAACCCAAGUAUGCAGUGUCUGCCCCCAGUGCUGGUUCCAUUACCCUUUCUGAAAAAGGAAUCUUAACUGAAAGUCCAUCUGCAAAUGUUUAAGUGGGUUCGCUCACUUGUUUGCAGAACUGUGGCCUAAUUGACUACACAGUAUAGAUUGCAAAGCAAAGUGUAGAAGGAAGGUCAAAUGCAAGAAAUAAAGAUGUGUGUGUGCAUACAUGUACUUCUAUAGCUUCUUCACUUAUUAGUUACCAAAGGUAAAAAAAGAACUAAAUUAUCAAACCCAGUAUUUUUCCCCAGUUGAUAUCCACUGUUCGUAUAAAUUGUUUUCCUCCGUUACAGGUUAAGUUUCCAUAAACACACACGGUAGUCGUUGAUAGGAAGCUUGGUUUUAAAUUAGCCAAAGAAUGUAUUUGAGCUGCAUUUUUUCCAAAAUUGAACACAUUAAAGCUUAUUUUUCAAAAAUAACAUAUGUAGCUUGUGUUCAAGAGCUGAAAACCAGUAUGGUUUUUCUGCAAGAGAUGAAAGCUUAUAAUUAUAUUGGAUUAUAAAUCUAAAAGCACAUUUCCAUGGAAUCAUCCAUUGUAUCAAAGCUGGUGCUUCUCAUUUUAUCUUUUGUCCUCAUUCCCAUGUAGUCCUGGCAAGAAUGUCAUUUAUCAAUGUAAAAAUGUUAAAUCACCCCAGUCAUGAAAUAUUAACAGAAUGCAUACAAUUAUGACUCCUAAAUUGAAGUCUUUCUAGCUGCAAUUUGUCACAUCUAGAAUUAUUAGUAGAGUAAAACUAGAAAGCUAUGAAAUAGCUAAAAUGGAAAAAUAGUGCUUCUAGUACAUGCGUUUAAUGUAGGUAAGCCCUGAACCUGCUUCAGCUGAGGUCAACAGGAGCUUUUCCUUCAACAUCAGUGGGAGCAAAAUAAUGACUUCCUAAAUGUCUUGAUUCUGAGCAACAGAUGAACAACAUAAUAGCGGUUCUUAAUUCCUUCAUGCAGAGAUGUAGAUAUUCUGGAGCAAAGUAGAAUGAGCAUGCUACUAAUUAUUUUCUAGAUGGUAAUAAUAUAUAUUCAAAGCUUUAAAAUAGUCUCCUGCAGCCUGUACCUAGAACAUAUUCCCUGAAAGUAACAGAUAGACAAUGCUAGGGGAACAGAUCCUAUGUUUUGUGAGAAACAGGGGAAGUUCUUUUACCCACUAGUUCCUCUGAAAUAAUAAAAUUAGCAAAUUCAAAAGCUCAGUGUAACUUUGAAAUAAUUAAAACCCUUUAAAAGUGUGGAAUAAGAUUAUGAAACAUGUACAGUUCAGUUACAUAUCAUCUAGAACUUCAAAACAUUGCAAGCAAGCCAGACUUCUUGUACUUCCUUACUAAUAUAUUCCAAAAAUACCCAAAGUAGUUUUAUUAUAAUGAGAGUAUUUUUAUCUCUAAGAACUAUUUCCUGUGAGCACUGUGCUCCUGCCUGCUGACUUUAUUACCAUGUUACACACUAUGGACCUUGGUAAAGCCCUAGCAACCUGGUCUAACUUUGAAGUUACCCCUGGUUUUAGCAGGAAGUUGGACUAGUGAACUUUUGAGGUCCGUGCAAGACUGUGUUUCUCUAGUUCUGUAAUUCUAUGAUUCUACAACAAGUUUUUCUAAGAGGAAAAAUGAUGAAUAUAUGGACUGUCUUUUCCACUACCUCUACCACAAAAGCAGACGUUUGUCUUUCCUUAUGCUCUUAUCUGAUCACUUGUAGCAGCCCAGACUGUCUGCUGAUCUCAUUUCAUGAAUACUUAUCUCUCUUGGUCUUUAGGUCUCAGUCUCAUUUCUUUUGCUACAGUUUAUAAAUAUGGCAUAAUCUCAUGCCCUUAAAAACCAAAACAUUAUUAACUGAUGUGCUUUUCUAACUGUUGCCUCUCUUUCAAUGGUUAAGCUCAGUUUUCUUCCUGUAGUUCUGUCAUACUCUACCAAACUGUCAUCUGGCUGCCUUGCACUCUCAGGAAGCCAGUAUCUCAUUUUGAUCACAGUCCCUAAGAACAUGUUCUUAACCAGCCUCAAAAGUGCAGUUUUAUAUUCAUCUGUCUUGUGGGCCACCAGUGAAGCCAGUGGUGCAUUUUUCCUGAUAAUCCUGUCAUUCUCAUUUGACUCCUGUCACCAUUUUGUUUAUUUCCGUUACUUCCUUAAUUGUUCUUUUGAGCAGAUCAUUUGUAAGAACCUCCACUUUCCUGAGUUUUCUAUACGGUUCCAGGUUUUGGGCUUUCAUUUAAUUCUUUCUUCCCUCUGCAAUAUGUCUGUUGGUGAUUUAUUCCACAAAUACUAUUUUAGCUAGCUUCUAUAUGUGAAAAACCUGCAAAGUUGAUUUUCCAGUCCAGACUAGACUCUAGUUUUCCAAGCAAAAAGAAGUAAUUAUGCCUAUUGACAUCACCUUUUGGAGAUCUAGCCUAUUUUAAACUUAAUGCAUACUUUUAAAACAUCCUUCCUUAUUUCUCACCUUCAUAACACACCAUUCAGGGUGGCAAAACCAGGGUCAUUAUCUUACUAAACUCUGAUUUCUGAGUCCUGUCCUCUAAAUUUCAAUAACUUUCUUGUUACUACCUCUAGGAUACAGACAUCUUCACCCAUUCAUGUAAGAAUCUCAUGUAAGCUGUCAGUAUAGCCACUUGACUGCAACAGUGUCUUCUCAGACUUUGCCAAAGCAAUUCCACUUUUCUUAUUCAAAGUACUACUGCAAGCUAAAUAUUUAAACAUUAGUUUGACUAUGCCAUUUCUUUAGUUUCUUCAUUAAUGCCCUUUCACUGUUCCAUCAGAUGUACAUACCUUGUCUUUACUUUAGAGGUCAUGUAGGACCUCUUGAUCCCUAUUCCCGUGGAGUCUACGGCACUAGGUUUGAUUGUUUCUAUAUGCCAUUUUCAAACAAACAUCUGUCCAUUCUCUCAUGUUUUGGAGAAGAGGCCAAUAGAGUGGCAAGAUCACUGGCAGGAGGCAUAAGUAGGACUUGAGAGAAGUGAAGUGACUGAUAUUAAAACAAUAGCCACCUGCAUCUUGCUUAAAGCUUGAACCUCAUCCUGAAUGAGGUCAGACAGGAAUAGAGUUUAGAUGGCACACAGGGCUGGUCAGGAAUAUGGAUUCCUACAGCUCCCUCACUGUCCAGCCUCCAAAUGUCACUCUCCAGCUUCCUCUGCUCAUAACACACACAAAAGAAGAAAAUGACAAUAUUUAAACUGAUGGUGUGCUGAAACCACUGCUAAUCAGCUAGACAAAUAUUGACACUAAUUUUAUUUUUCCAUCCAUGUUGUUUUUUGGUCUUUUGUCUUAACUUGGAUUAUAAAGGCUCUGCGGGAAGCCUGGUUUUGUUCUGUGUUUGUACAAUGUCUAGCCACUGGGAUGCUGCUCUGAUUAAGCCUCACAGGCACUCUGGUAACGCGAAUUAAAAACAAUACAGCUUUCUAUUCUUGCUACUUCUACAGAGACUAUUAGGCUGUGGGAAGCUGAAUUCUAUGGCUGCAUAUGGACCAACUGAACAAUACACUAAAUCCUAAUCACUGAGCUACUGCAAAACUAUUAAAGGAAUUGCAGCAGCAUCACUGGGGACUUGAAGAGAGAGAAGCUAAUUUAAUUUUCAUACAACUGGAAAAGUAAAUGCAAAGAAAAAACCAAACAGUUAACCCCCCCCACAUGUAUUUCAUACAGACAAGGAACUCUCUGCACCACUUCUCAGUAUUACUUUUUUAAUUCAGUAAGAAAUUAAAAAUAUGGAUAAAAAAAAA
rnacentral:lncRNA from 1 species